rnacentral:rRNA from 1 species
UACGUAGGUGUCGAGCGUUGUCCGGAUUUAUUGGGCGUAAAGCGCCCGCAGGCGGCUCGCCAAGUUCGAGGUGAAAUCUCCCGGCUCAACUGGGAGGGUGCGCCGGAUACUGAGGGGCUAGAGUGUGGGAGAGGAAAGUGGAAUUCCUGGUGUAGCGGUGAAAUGCGUAGAUAUCAGGAGGAACACCGGUGGCGAAGGCGGGUCUCUGGGCCAUAACUGACGCUGAGGAGCGAAAGCGUGGGGAGCAAACAGG